CGUAGUUGGAUUUCUGGUAGGAGCGACCGUGCCGAACUUGAUUGUUCGUGUAUUGUGUUGUCUUCAGCCAUCCUCGUGGAGAACUUUUCUAACAUUAACUUGUUGGGAUUGGGACCCGCGUCGUUUACUGUGAAAAAAUUAGAGUGUUUAAAGCAGGCAUUAGCUUGAAUACAUUAGCAUGGAAUAAUAAGAUAGGACUUUGGUACUAUUUUGUUGGUUUGCAUACCAAAUUAAUGA
rnacentral:rRNA from 1 species